rnacentral:rRNA from 1 species
AUAUUCGGAACAUCUUCUUCAGAAGAUGCGGAAUAACGUGACAUAUUGUAUUCAGUUUUGAAUGUUUAUUUAACAUUCAAAUAUUUUUUGGUUAAAGUGAUAUUCCUUUUGAAAAUAAAGCAGUAUGCGAGCGCUUGACUAAAAAGAAAUUGUACAUUGAAAACUAGAUAAGUAAGUAAAAUAUAGAUUUUACCAAGCAAAACCGAGUGAAUAAAGAGUUUUAAAUAAGCUUGAAUUCAUAAGAAAUAAUCGCUAGUGUUCGAAAGAACACUCACAAGAUUAAUAACGCGUUUAAAUCUUUUUAUAAAAGAACGUAACUUCAUGUUAACGUUUGACUUAUAAAAAUGGUGGAAACAUAGAUUAAGUUAUUAAGGGCGCACGGUGGAUGCCUNGUGGUUUAAUUCGAAGCAACGCGAAGAACCUUACCAAAUCUUGACAUCCUUUGACAACUCUAGAGAUAGAGCCUUCCCCUUCGGGGGACAAAGUGACAGGUGGUGCAUGGUUGUCGUCAGCUCGUGUCGUGAGAUGUUGGGUUAAGUCCCGCAACGAGCGCAACCCUUAAGCUUAGUUGCCAUCAUUAAGUUGGGCACUCUAAGUUGACUGCCGGUGACAAACCGGAGGAAGGUGGGGAUGACGUCAAAUCAUCAUGCCCCUUAUGAUUUGGGCUACACACGUGCUACAAUGGACAAUACAAAGGGCAGCGAAACCGCGAGGUCAAGCAAAUCCCAUAAAGUUGUUCUCAGUUCGGAUUGUAGUCUGCAACUCGACUACAUGAAGCUGGAAUCGCUAGUAAUCGUAGAUCAGCAUGCUACGGUGAAUACGUUCCCGGGUCUUGUACACACCGCCCGUCACACCACGAGAGUUUGUAACACCCGAAGCCGGUGGAGUAACCUUUUAGGAGCUAGCCGUCGAAGGUGGGACAAAUGAUUGGGGUGAAGUCGUAACAAGGUAGCCGUAUCGGAAGGUGCGGCUG